rnacentral:rRNA from 1 species
UACGAAGGGGGCUAGCGUUGCUCGGAAUUACUGGGCGUAAAGCGCACGUAGGCGGCUUCUUAAGUCGGUGGUGAAAUCCUGGAGCUCAACUCCAGAACUGCCUUCGAUACUGCGGUGCUUGAGGACUGGAGAGGAGACUGGAAUUCAUGGUGUAGCAGUGAAAUGCGUAGAGAUCAUGAGGAAGACCAGUGGCGAAGGCGGGUCUCUGGACAGUUCCUGACACUGAGGCACGAAGGCCAGGGGAGCAAACGGG